rnacentral:snoRNA from 1 species
AUUGCCAGUGAUGACAGCUUACAUUACUUUGUAUGAGAAAUAUGAUUAUUUGUUAACAUGCACUACCAGCUGAGGCAUU